rnacentral:tRNA from 1 species
UUCUCGCUGGACGAUGGGGGGAAAGUCCUGGAUAUCGGGCAUCCGCGGGGUGCGGGCAACGGUCGGCCGUUCCGCCGCCGGGGGAAU